rnacentral:misc_RNA from 1 species
UAAAUCAUGGGAUCUCAGGCUUCAAACCCUUAAAAGGGAUUCCAGUUUACAAUAGCUGGAACAUCAAUUCUGGAGAGAUGGAUCCCAGAUUUUGCUUUAACCAAAUAAAUACCUUAUUCAUCAUCUUGCACUCCUUACCCAUGUUCUUCUCCAGGUGAUACCUGCAGUUCUUUUCCGGAUUAUAGAAUGGGGACAUCAUCAGUUCGACUGGGGGUGGAGUUGGAGGUGCGGAGGUUUAUGGAAGUGGGAUGAUUAGAUCAAGAUUUAUACCAAAGCAACAAAACAAGAGGAACAUGAGAGCACCAAGAAUGC